CUUAUUGCCCAUCAAAGAAUCCACACUGGGGAGCGGCCCUAUAAAUGCUAUAAACUUUGAAGCUAAGCAAAAUACGUUCUAUUUCUAUUAAAAGGAAAACUACUCGAGGAGACAAGUUGUAUAACUUUUUACCCACUUAGCCUGUAAGGGUCACUGAGUUCCCCACGUCUCUAAUUUGCAAAGGAAAGGCCUGACAUCUGUCAUAGGAUGUGUCUAACAGGUAGAAAAGCUGCAAUCGUCAACCAUCAAUAUCAAGGAAAAGGCUGGACUCCACUGCCUUUCAUGUCUAAAAGCUGGCUAGAGGCUGAUCUACAAUGAAAAGCUAUGUUGACAUAGCCACAUCUCUCAGGGGUGUGAAAAAUCUACUCCACAGAGAAGUAGUUAAUGUGAGCCCCAGUGUAGACAGGCUUGGGUUGGGUUGUCAGAAGAAUACUUCCAGUGUUUGAAGUGUAGACAUAGCCUUAGGGCUGGUCUACAGUAUGUGGUUAUUUUGGAAUGAGCCGAGUUAAUUCAAAAUAAAACUGAUUCCGUC